UAAAAAAACAAACCCUGAUUUCCGUGCCCAACAUUUAACCGUCCGUUUUAUUUAAAAAAAUUAUAAAAAAAUAAAAAGACAAGUCACGCAUAAAGUAUUAAUCAUAUUUUAUCAUCUAACAAUAAUAAAAAUACGAAUUAUAAAAAAAUUUCAUAUAAGACGGACAGUUAAAGUUGGACACAAAAUCUUAGGGUUUGCCUUUUU
rfam:Oryza barthii chromosome 3, whole genome shotgun sequence.